rnacentral:rRNA from 1 species
UACGUAGGGUGCAGGCGCUAAUCGGAAUUACUGGGCGUAAAGCGUGCGCAGGCGGUUUCUUAAGUCAGAUGUGAAAUCCCCGGGCUCAACCCGGGAACUGCGUCCGAUACUGGUGGGCUUGAAUCCGGGAGAGGGAUGCGGAAUUCCAGGUGUAGCGGUGAAAUGCGUAGAUAUCUGGAGGAACACCGGUGGCGAAGGCGGCAUCCUGGACCGGUAUUGACGCUGAGGCGCGAAAGCCAGGGGAGCAAACGGG